rnacentral:rRNA from 1 species
AUUGAACGCUGGCGGCAUGCUUUACACAUGCAAGUCGAACGGUAACAGGGAGCUUGCUCCGCUGACGAGUGGCGAACGGGUGAGUAAUAUAUCGGAACGUACCCAAGAGUGGGGGAUAACGUAGCGAAAGUUACGCUAAUACCGCAUACGAUCUAAGGAUGAAAGCCGGGGACCUUCGGGCCUUGUGCUCCUGGAGCGGCCGAUAUCUGAUUAGCUAGUUGGUGAGGUAAAGGCUCACCAAGGCGACGAUCAGUAGCUGGUCUGAGAGGACGACCAGCCACACUGGAACUGAGACACGGUCCAGACUCCUACGGGAGGCAGCAGUGGGGAAUUUUGGACAAUGGGCGCAAGCCUGAUCCAGCAAUGCCGCGUGAGUGAAGAAGGCCUUCGGGUUGUAAAGCUCUUUUGUCAGGGAAGAAACGGGAUUGGCUAAUAUCCAGUCCUAAUGACGGUACCUGAAGAAUAAGCACCGGCUAACUACGUG